AUUCCAGCUCCAAUAGCGUAUAUUAAUGUUGUUGCAGUUAAAAAGCUCGUAGUUGAAUUUCUGGUUAAAAUCUUAGCUGGCUUUGGUCGUUAAUGUUUUAAUCAUCCGUUAGAGAACUAUAACCGUCCUUAACUGGUCAUUAUAGAGAUCUAACAUUUUACUUUGAAAAAAUUAGAGUGUUCAAGGCAGGCAAUCGUCAUGAAUACUAUAGCACGGAAUAAUGGAAUAGGACUUUGGUUCAUUUUAUUGGUUAUUGAACCUUAGUAAUGAUUAACAGGGACAGUUGGGGGCAUUAGUAUUUAAUUGUCAGAGGUGAAAUUCUUGGAUUUAUUAAAGACUAACUUAUGCGAAAGCAUUUGCCAAGGAUGUUUUCAUUG
rnacentral:rRNA from 1 species